GACGAACGCUGGCGGCGUGCCUAAUACAUGCAAGUAGAACGCUGAAGGAGGAGCUUGCUUCUCUGGAUGAGUUGCGAACGGGUGAGUAACGCGUAGGUAACCUGCCUGGUAGCGGGGGAUAACUAUUGGAAACGAUAGCUAAUACCGCAUAAGAGUAGAUGUUGCAUGACAUUUGCUUAAAAGGUGCAAUUGCAUCACUACCAGAUGGACCUGCGUUGUAUUAGCUAGUUGGUGGGGUAACGGCUCACCAAGGCGACGAUACAUAGCCGACCUGAGAGGGUGGUCGGCCCCACUGGGACUGAGACCCGGCCCAGACUCCUUCGGGAGGCAGCCGUAGGGAAUCUUCGGCCAUGGACGGAAGUCUGACCGAGCAACGCCGCGUGAGUGAAGAAGGUUUUCGGAUCGUAAAGCUCUGUUGUAAGAGAAGAACGAGUGUGAGAGUGGAAAGUUCACACUGUGACGGUAUCUUACCAGAAAGGGACGGCUAACUACGUG
rnacentral:rRNA from 1 species